AAUCUAAUAUAUAAAAUUACAUAAAAUUAAAAUUCAUAUAUAACAUUAUAUAUCGAAACAAAUUUCAUACUUAUAAAAUUUAUCUCAUCUAAAAAACUAAAAAUCUAACAAAUUUUUUUUUUACACUAAAUAAAGUGAUCCUUGGCAGGGAAGUUUGGCAUUUGGUUUCUAUAACAUUCCAAGCAUAAUUGCAAUGAAGUUCCUAACAUUUCUCGUAUGAUACAAACAACUACAAAUGGAAUAUUUGGUAAAGCAUCAACAUAUGGGAGAAUAUGACAUUGUCUCCUACAUAAAGUUUAUAUAAACUCUAUCUUAUGCAAUACAAAACAAUCAUCUACAAAUUUAAUAUAUCUUGUUAGUGCAAUGAGAAUGGGAAUUAAAGAUAUAUAUAUAUAUCGUACGGGACUUGUUUUGGUACCUACAUGGCCAAAAUCGCCUGAAGAAUGCAUUAAAGACUGCGUGAUACAGGAAUCAGUGGUGGAGACUGUCAAAGACACCCACCACACCAGCAUCUCCACAUUUUGCAAGUUUGGAUGUGCUGCCCCUCUGUGCCCAAAGCUUACCAUCAAAGAAAACCCCAGUUGUUAGAAUUGUGUGACCCAAAUUCUAAGAGAUUGCUUGCAAGUCAAGUUAAACAAAAAUAUAUUUUCUUUCUAGAAGAUUUAGUAUUUAUUAGUAUAAUAUAUUUAGCAUUUAUUAGUAUAGUUUAUUUGACUUACUAAUUUAGCCUAUAAAUAGGCUCAUUUACAAUAUUAGAAUUAAGAGACACCCAUUAGAUUAGAACUCAUAACACAUUCAGAGAAUUUUGUGUUUACAUUUGAGGGUUCUUUGUUUUUCGGGUUUUCGGGGUUUAGUUUUUAUCUCCAUUUUUUGUACUCUUCAUUCUUUUGCCAUUAUAGUAAAAUUAUCUUUGCCCGUGGUUUUUUAUCCUCUUUUGAGGGGUUUUUCCACGUUAAAUUUGUGUGUUCAUCUUCUCAAUUUCUUCUACUAUUUUUACUUGUUCGUUGCUUAUUCGGGACGAUCCUAACAAGUGGUAUCAGAGCUAGUUUAACUUUCAUAGAUCAGCCCGGUCAGAGAUGGCAGCAACAAGGUUUGAAAUUAAGAAGUUCGAUGGUGAGACAAAUUUCAAUCUGUGGCAAGUUCGGAUGAUGGCAAUUCUAGUUCAAAAUGGCUUGAAAAAGGUUGUUACAGGGAAAAAGCCUGAGAAUCUAAAUCAAACAGAAUGGGAAGAGCUUGAUGAAAAGGCCUUGUCUGCAAUCCAGUUAUGCCUCGCGAAUACAGUAUUGCAGGAGGUAUUGAUGGAGAAGACCUCAUUCGCCUUGUGGAAAAGGUUAGAAACUCUUUAUGCGACUAAGUCUCUGGCUAACCGUUUAGUGUUGAAACAACGUCUAUUUACGUUUCGCAUGAACGAAGGUGAGCUUCUUAAAGAUCACAUCAGUCAAUUCAUUACUCUUUUAAAUGAUUUAAAGAACGUUGAGGUUCAUAUUGACGAUGAAGAUCAAGCUAUGAUAUUAUUGUGCUCUUUACCCUCUUCAUACAAGUCUUUCAGGGAGACCCUGAUUUAUGGCAGAGACAAACUCUCGUUCGAAGAUGUGAAGGGUCAUUUGUUGAGUAGAGACAAACUCGACAAUGAGUUUGAUUUGAAUAGCAAAGCAGAUAGACAAGCUUCCGUUUUGGUAGCAUCAAAGAAACGAGACAAAAGGUGUCGCUAUUGCAAAAAGUUAGGUCACGUCAAAGCAGAUUGUUAUAAACUGCGAAAUAAAAGAGCUGCUGAGAGUAACGAGGAAGAUGUAGCUGGUGCUAAUUUGGUCGAUGAAGGCGGUGAUGAUUUCUUGUUAGUGUCAACGAGAGAUAACUCCAAGCUUACGUCUGAGUGGAUCCUAGAUUCAGGAUGUUCUUUCCACAUGUGUCCCAAUAGAGAAUGGUUCUCCACAUACAGUUCAGUUGAAGGUGGAGUUGUGCACAUGGGAAACGAUUCAUCUAGUAAAAUAAUCGGUAUUGGUACUGUUAAUAUUAGGAUACACGAUGGGACGAUUAGGACACUCUCAGAUGUCAGGUAUGUACCUGAUUUACGAAAGAAUCUCAUCUCCUUGAGUAUUUUAGACUUGAAAGGAUGCAGAAUCAACAUCGAGUCGAGCGACAUUAAAGUAUCUCGUGGAGCUCUCGUUUUGUUAAAAGGUAAAAGAACCGGCAGUCUUUAUAUUCUGGAAGGUUCUACAGUGACCGGUGAAAUCGGACGUCCCUCGUCCGUUACGGAGUCAAAGUCAACUCAUUUGAAGCGGAGGCAACUUGGUCAUAGGAGGGAAAAAGGUAUGACCGUUUCGUUGAAGAGAGGUUCUCUUUUGGAUGCAGGUUUUGAAAAGUUAGGGCACUGUAUUCGUGAAAAUCAGACCUGGGUUAGUUUUGAUUUGGCAGUGCACAAGUCGAAGGCUAGAAGUCUUCCAGCUUCUAAGCAUAGAUUCGACUCAGUUAAUUCCCUGCAUAGUUCAAGAUAGGCCCGUGGCGGGUUUUGGCAAAGAUGGCAUUCAAAGAAUUCGUGUCAAGGUGGAGAUUGUUAGAAUUGUGUGACCCAAAUUCUAAGAGAUUGCUUGCAAGUCAAGUUAAACAAAAAUAUAUUUUCUUUCUAGAAGAUUUAGUAUUUAUUAGUAUAAUAUAUUUAGCAUUUAUUAGUAUAGUUUAUUUGACUUACUAAUUUAGCCUAUAAAUAGGCUCCUUUACAAUCUUAGAAUUAAGAGACACCCAUUAGAUUAGAACUCAUAACACAUUCAGAGAAUUUUGUGUUUACGUUUGAGGGUUCUUUAUUUUUCGGGUUUUCGGGGUUUAGUUUUUAUCUCCAUCUUUUGUACUCUUCAUUCUUUUGCCAUUAUAGUAAAAUUAUCUUUGCCUGUGGUUUUUUAUCCUCUUUUGAGGGGUUUUUCCACGUUAAAUUUGUGUGUUCAUCUUCUCAAUUUCUUCUACUAUUUUUACUUGUUCGUUGCUUAUUCAGGACGAUCCUAACACCAGUUUUUUUUUUUCUUUUUUCCUUAUUUUCUUUGGUGCUAAGCUUUGAAAACAAAGUGGUAGCCAUCCAAACUUGCAGAAAGUGGAGCUGCUGCUGUGGUGGGUGUCUUUGACAGUCUCCACCACUGAUUACGGUAUCAUGCAGUCUUUAUUGCAGUCUCCAGCCGAGUAUCCUUUGGCCAUGCAGGUACCAAAGCAAGUCCCAUACGAUAUAUAUAUCUCUUUAAUUCCCUUCCACUUUGCAGUAACAAGAUAUAUUAGAUUGCAGAAGGUAUUUAACACCAGUUGACGGAAAAUACAUAAAUAAAGUUAUAUAUAUAUUUAUACCCCAAAUCCUGAAGUGUAUUUAACACCAGUUGACGGCAACCACAAGUCUCCUUCAAUGAAUUGAGCUACUGUAAAAUUAACAGCUUGAGCUGAGUUAUUUAAAACAUGGUAACCAGGCCACUUAACUCGCUCACUAAGGCUAGCCCCUGGCCCAUUAUUCAUGUACUCGGCAUAGUAUAAUGUAUCCAAGGCAAAAUCUUGGUUCCAUUCAAGCCACCCUUGUGGCCUUAUGGCAUCACUAAUGUAGGAUUGCAUGAUAAUGGUCCUUGAAUAUAGUUUCCAUGGUCUUCCCAAGUAUGUAGGAGUGGAGUUAACUGAAGGUAAUAAGUCCGUAUCGGCCGAGAUGUUGCAGAACUGGAUGGAGAAGCCAGUCGGUUGGUUCGGGUCUUUGCGACCUUGCGCGGUGAUGGUAUUUUUCUGGCUUGGUAAGCCUUGCUUGGCUAAGAUUUGGCAAUUUUGGAACAAAACCGCGCCGUCGCCGAAUAUGAAGUCUACAGUGCCGGUGAUCUUACAUUCCCUGUAGAAUUGACGCAUCGUGUGGGUGUAGAGCGAGUCUUGGUAUCCCUUGAUUGCACAUCGGAAGAAAACUGAGAGGUCCGAGUCGGACCGUAACGCUACCGCUUGGUGCUUUUGGGGACCUGCUGUGUUCUCGAAUGUUAUGUCUCUUGCUAUGAACCCUCUUCCACUUACAGCUGCAGGUUUCAGGACAGAACAUAAUAAUGAUGACAAUAUGGAAAAUAACUAUGCAUGAUGCACCAUAACAAUGUCAUGAUUAUCAUAAAGAAACCUUUUCAUCAUAUAUAUUAUGGUGAAAACUGAAAAACAAAUAAAGUUUUAGAGACAACAUCAUAGUUCCCAUAUGAUUAAAUCAUGCAGGGUAAGGCUCCUUGGGUGUCCAAAAGUUUACAAGCCCAAUUAGGCCAGGAUGGAUUUAUCAAUUGGGCGGGACAGGUUAACUUCGAAUACAUAAAUUUGGAUAAAUUUUAUGGUUAAUUUGAGUUUUUUAAGUUUAAGUGAAUUUAAGAUUCAGAUUAUUUUUAACUCUGUUCAUUUUGAGUUUGUCAUUUUGGGUUAAAAUGUUAUUUCAAGAUCAAGUUUUAAAAUUUUCAAACUCAUUUUAGGUUUGAAUUGAUUUUGGGUUUAAGUUAUUUCGGACUCCAGUCACUCAGAUCUAAUCGUUUCGGGUUCACGUCGUUUUAGGUUUUAAAAGUUUCAUGUUAUGCUGAGUUUGGAUCUUUUUGGGUCAUUUUUGUCUUCAAGUAUAGGUCAAUUCUGAUUAAUGGUAUUUCAACCUCAAGUCUUUUUAUGAUUUAUGAUCAAAUUAAGUUAAUUCAAAAAAAUUAUUAAUUUUUCGAGUUUGGAUUAAAUUAAAUAAACCUAAGCAGUCUAGAUGCAAUAAGUAAUGACCCCAAACUCAAGCUACGCCCUAAAAGAUGUUGAUUGGUAGAUCGAUAGGGGGAAAUAGGAUCAGCCCCUGCAUUCAAGUUCCAUUAAGGGAUUUCAUGAUUGUGCAUUUAAAACUAUAGCAAAAUGCAACCAAUUAAACCAAGUCCAGUGCUAAAUGAUUCACAGUACUUGACUUACCAAAUGUUGCAGAUCGAAAUGUGGUCCAUCCAUCAAUGAAGCUACGAUUCCCAGAUAUUACAGUGACAUCCAUUCCAUCACCGAUCAUCACAAGGUUCCAUUUCUUCUUCUUGAUCUCCACAUUCUCUUUAUAUAAACCCUUCUUAAUGUAAAUAACAUAUCUGUUCAUACUCUUAUCUGGUGCUGUCUCCACAGCAUCCAUUAUGCGUGUGAAAUUCCCACUCCCAUCUGCUGCCACCA
rnacentral:lncRNA from 1 species